ACGUGAAUCCCCGGGCUCAACCUGGGAAUUGCGAUGGAGACUGCAAGGCUAGAAUCUGGCAGAGGGGGGUAGAAUUCCACGUGUAGCAGUGAAAUGCGUAGAGAUGUGGAGGAACACCGAUGGCGAAGGCAGCCCCCUGGGUCAAGAUUGACGCUCAUGCACGAAAGCGUGGGGAGCAAACAGGAUUAGAUACCCUGGUAGUCCACGCCCUAAACGAUGUCUACUAGUUGUCGGGUUUUAAUUAACUUGGUAACGCAGCUAACGCGUGAAGUAGACCGCCUGGGG
rnacentral:rRNA from 1 species